rnacentral:rRNA from 1 species
AACGAACGCUGGCGGCAUGCCUAACACAUGCAAGUCGAACGAAGCCUUCGGGCUUAGUGGCGCACGGGUGCGUAACGCGUGGGAACCUGCCUUUAGGUUCGGAAUAACAGUUAGAAAUGACUGCUAAUACCGAAUAAUGUCUUCGGACCAAAGAUUUAUCGCCUUUAGAUGGGCCCGCGUUAGAUUAGGUAGUUGGUGGGGUAAUGGCCUACCAAGCCGACGAUCUAUAGCUGGUCUGAGAGGAUGAUCAGCCACACUGGGACUGAGACACGGCCCAG